UACGUAGGGUGCGAGCGUUGUCCGGAAUUACUGGGCGUAAAGAGCUCGUAGGUGGUUUGUCGCGUUGUUCGUGAAAACCGGGGGCUUAACCCUCGGCGUGCGGGCGAUACGGGCAGACUUGAGUACUGCAGGGGAGACUGGAAUUCCUGGUGUAGCGGUGGAAUGCGCAGAUAUCAGGAGGAACACCGGUGGCGAAGGCGGGUCUCUGGGCAGUAACUG
rnacentral:rRNA from 1 species